rnacentral:rRNA from 1 species
CCCUUAGAUGUUCUGGGCCGCACGCGUGCUACACUGAGUGGAUCAGCGGGUCAGGUUGCGCGAAAGCGUUUCCUAAUCUUUAAAUCCGCUCGUGAUGGGGAUUGACGGUUGCAAUUUUCUGUCAUGAACGAGGAAUACCUUGUAAGCGCGGGUCAUCAUCCCGCGCUGAAUACGUCCCUGCCCUUUGUACACACCGCCGUCGCUCCUACCGAUUGAGUGGUCCGGUGAGGCUUUGGGAUCUGAGCGGAAAGAGCGUUUCGCUGUUUCUGCUCGGAAAACUCAGUCGAACCUUAUCAUUUAGAGGAAGGAGAAGUCGUAACA